rnacentral:rRNA from 1 species
UACGUAGGGUGCAAGCGUUGUCCGGAAUUAUUGGGCGUAAAGAGCGUGUAGGCGGUUAGGUAGGUCCGUUGUGAAAACUCGAGGCUCAACCUCGAGACGCCGAUGGAAACCCCCUAACUAGAGUCCGGAAGAGGAGAGUGGAAUUCCUGGUGUAGCGGUGAAAUGCGCAGAUAUCAGGAAGAACACCCGUGGCUAAGGCGGCUCUCUAGUACGGUACUGACGCUGAGACGCGAAAGCGUGGGGAGCGAACAGG